UCCACCAAACACCAAGAAUCAUUUCAAUUUAAAAAAGGUCGAUUGAGGUAAUAAUUUCAAAUUUACUAAGCAGACGAAAAUCGAUUCGUAGAUAACUCAAAUGAAAGGCUUGGUACCAUCGUCCAUAGUAAAAAACUCUCAAUAUUAAUGCAAUUUGGAGAAACAAAAAUUAAAUUAAAUCGUCAGAGGUCGGCUGGUCGCGACAGGCCUGAGGUUGGAAACAAUGGAAGAUGGUGAUGUUAGAGGUGGGCUUGGACGAGCCCAGGUGAGAUCUAGGUCGUGUCAUGGCCGGAGGUUUCAAGAGCUUGAGUUGUAGCCAGAGGUUGUUGAAGCUUGGGUCGUGGUCGGAGGUUGUCGAAGUUGGGUGUUUGUGGGUCUGGGUGUUUGAAGGUGCACAAUGGAAGAUGAACACAAGCCAAUUUUUUUUU